GCAACAUUAUUCGGCAACGGUUAUACCGAAGAUCGCAACAAUUCAGAGACUGAAUGACUUCCGUGGAUGUGGUCACCAUUCAAAGCAUCGCGAUAUGUGGUUUUACCGAUAUUUGCUACUUCAUGAAUUCCAAAUACAUUAUUGAUCCUACUCUAGCUUCUUCCAUGCAAUUUUCCAUCAAUGUGAUUCCUGUGGCCGUGAAAAUCAUCUAGACCAUCUUUCACAACAGUGCUCUCCUGCCUUAACAGCUUGAACCGACAAGGAGAAAGAGAAAUGGAAGGAAUGCUUUUUUUUCAAAAUAACAUCACAUGCCUUCAAAUAAACCCAUGAAUGCAGGCUAGCUCUC
rnacentral:lncRNA from 1 species